rnacentral:rRNA from 1 species
ACGGGGGGUGCAAGCGUUGUUCGGAAUUAUUGGGCGUAAAGGGCGUGUAGGCGGUUUGUUAAGUCUGAUGUGAAAGCCCCGGGCUCAACCUGGGAAGUGCAUUGGAAACUGGCAGACUUGAAUACGGGAGAGGGUAGUGGAAUUCCCGGUGUAGGGGUGAAAUCCGUAGAUAUCGGGAGGAACACCAGUGGCGAAGGCGGCUUCCUGGACUGAUAUUGACGCUGAGGCGCGAAAGCGUGGGGAGCAAACAG